rnacentral:lncRNA from 1 species
UCCUGUUUUCUUGAUAAUGUUUUUUUGUUUAAAUGGAGCUGGUUUAAAGGGGUAACAGCUGUGGGCUGAAUCCAGUUUGCAUGAAGAUUAGCUGAUAGGAACACACAGUUUAUCUUAAACCGCACUUAGAAAUUUUUCAGGCUUUUGUGAGCAACUUUAAAAUUCAUUUGGAAUGUUUUGCUACUAAACAGUGACAUUCAUUUAUGAAAGUAGUUUUCUUCAGGCUCAACUCUACUUUCUACCUAAUAGACCAGAAACAAAAUUAUGAAAUUUUGAUAGGUUAAGCUGUACUCCAUGAUGCUUUUGAGAGACUACUGUUAUCAGUAGAUAGGUGCAGGUUUAGGUCUGACAGUGCUUUGUCUGGGAUUUUUUCUGCAAUGUAUUGUUGAGGAUAUCUUUUUGCUUUAAUUUUCCAUUGUUUUCACCUUGAAUCUUAUUAUAUUUACAGUUUCUAUUCAGCUUUGGAUGACAUGGAAGUAUUUUUACAUGGUCUUGGUCUAGAACACCUAAUAGGAUUAUUGAAGGAAAGAGAUGUAUAUUUAAGGCAACUUCUGAUCAUGCAAAAAGAAGAGUUAAUACAGGUCAGUUCUGAAAAUUUCCUCCUCUUUCUUAAAUGGCUUUAGUAUCUUUUCCUUACAAAUGUCUAACUUUCUAAGAAUUCUUUAAAGGUCUGUUUUCAAAAUCCUGUACAGCAACUUGAAUUUCUAUAUAUAGAGAGAUGUUUUCUAAAGUAUGUAAUCCCACAGACCAGCCUCAAAUACUGUGAGUUGAAUUCUUGGAUAUUCUUUGCCUGAGUAUGAAUUGGAGGCCCCCAGUAUUCUUGCUGUAAUGAUGUAGGAGUUGGGGUGAGCAGGAAAUAGUUCAGUUUGGAAUUUUAGUUGUUAGCAUUGUUAGUAUGUAAGCAUGUUUUUCCUGAAUGGAAAUCAGUGCUUGUAUUAUCAGCAGAUAAUCCUAAAUAACCGCUUUAAAUGUGGUCCACUUAGUGAGAUGGUAGGAUCUUUUGUAUUGUGGCAUCUCAUAUCCCACAGACUUGUAAAUCCUUAACCAAAAAAAAAAAGAUUGGAUUUCUUACAGUUUCCUACAUUUGGGAAGUUGAGUAUUUCACUGUUGUGUAGGAGAAACUGAUAAGCAAUUGUAAGGUUUCAGUUUGUAGUAGAAAUAAGGUGAUUGCAUUUUCCUUAGGCUUAUUGGAGUUACUGCUCUGGGAAAAACUUCCUCCACCUAAAGGAGGAUGCCAUAAUGAAAUCCAAUCUUAGCAGUCUCCUUAAAACACUGUAACUAGUUCAGGCUGCACUCUGUGCCUGAGCCAGGAUACUGAAGAGGCCUUCUUAACCAAGCCGCCUGA